UGGGGUGUCAGACAAUACUUUGUCUUUACUC
rnacentral:piRNA from 1 species